CCUACGGGAGGCAGCAGUAGGGAAUCUUCCGCAAUGGACGAAAGUCUGACGGAGCAACGCCGCGUGAGUGAUGAAGGCUUUCGGGUCGUAAAACUCUGUUGUUAGGGAAGAACAAGUGCUAGUUGAAUAAGCUGGCACCUUGACGGUACCUAACCAGAAAGCCACGGCUAACUACGUGCCAGCAGCCGCGGUAAUACGUAGGUGGCAAGCGUUAUCCGGAAUUAUUGGGCGUAAAGCGCGCGCAGGUGGUUUCUUAAGUCUGAUGUGAAAGCCCACGGCUCAACCGUGGAGGGUCAUUGGAAACUGGGAGACUUGAGUGCAGAAGAGGAAAGUGGAAUUCCAUGUGUAGCGGUGAAAUGCGUAGAGAUAUGGAGGAACACCAGUGGCGAAGGCGACUUUCUGGUCUGUAACUGACACUGAGGCGCGAAAGCGUGGGGAGCAAACAGGAUUAGAUACCCUGGUAGUCCACGCCGUAAACGAUGAGUGCUAAGUGUUAGAGGGUUUCCGCCCUUUAGUGCUGAAGUUAACGCAUUAAGCACUCCGCCUGGGGAGUACGGCCGCAAGGCUGAAACUCAAAGGAAUUGACGGCGGGCGGGGGCGGCGG
rnacentral:rRNA from 1 species